CACUGGAAGCGGGGGCGGCCGGCUGGAUGGGGACUUUGAACUCGGCUUGAACAAGGCUAGUGUUUUUUUUGUAGGAAUGUAGUCAGAAAUGCCCCAAAGUCACGUAAGUGGAAGGACUGCUAUAUAGGUCACCGGAGUUUAAAAAAAAACAAAAGCAGCAUGAAAUAUGAAAAGUUGAAAUGAAACAAUGUUAAGACAAGAAGACAUUUCACUUCAAAUGUUCAAACAAUAAUCAUUAAUAAGUCACAUUUUGUCAGAUAUUCUUAGAAUUGCGGUUUGAUGUUCUCAAACCUGCCCUGAGCGAGACUGGGAUUAAAGGGUGAUCUUCUCUGGAUGUCUUGUCCUUUUUUUCACAAAAGAAUGGCUCAUGGAUUCUCAAAGAAAAAAAAAAAGCCAUAUUUAGCAGCUGCAUGUCAGGCAAAGCUGUAAUUAGGCUGGCAUUCGGCAGCUGAAAGAGAUGGUCUGAAUACCAUGUGGACGAAAUCUCCUUGAUUACAUCAUCUAAGAUUCCUUGCUUAGAACCAAACCAUCAACUGUAUGUUCAACUGAUUUCUGUAGGGCCUCAACGAAAGACACCACGGCAGAUAUCGGGAUCUGACAGCAGACAAAACAACAGCAAAUGACUGCUAGCCAAAAAAACACUGCAGACACCUGGACAGCGUGAACGAUGCUGCGGAAGCGAGGUUUCUCUUCAUUGCGUCGCAGCAUCAGGCCCAUCUGGCGGGUGAAGGUGGAGGCCAGCCAGUCCCGUACCUCUGAUGGCACCGACUCUGAUUGGAUGUCACUGAGCUCAUCUUCUGUGUCCACCAAACGCCUGACAAACAGCAAGACGGGAGGUGAUUUGUAGAUCCCCGCUACUCCCCAAGGGUUUGCCCUCUAUUAACCACUGUUGGUGGCCGCAGACUCCCCCGACCUUCGUGGGACUUCCCAGACAAACACAUGAGGAGGAAGAUGUGCAUCUGUUGAGGAGUGUAAAUGUUAUGAUAUUGGAUGCAAUAACUGAAGGCUGUAGCUUUCAAAUGGAGGAACAGGCUCUGUCCAGUCAAGUGGAAAAUCACUUUCUCCUUGUCACUACCCUACUCUGUAAAAAAACCUGGGCCUGUUUUCUGGAGGGAGACUAUGGCAGAGAACAACAGCACUGUAAUUUGAGAUAGCAGGGAGAAGGACCAGAGAAGAAGCUUGUGUUACUGCAGUGAGACUUCAGAAGGAAGGAAGAGAAUUGGAGAUUUUCCAGAAUGUCUAUACCAAACAACCCACAAAUUGUGAAAAUGUCUUGCUACAUAAAAUGGCUUGCUGUGACUCUGUGUUCUAUUUUGCAUACAAUCAAAAUCUUGUUAUCGUGAAUUAGGUGCAUUUUUAGUAUCCUGUGACAAACGCUCACUUCUCGCCACCUGCGGCAUUUGUUACGGCCUCUAGAGCCAUCAAGGUUAAUUGGAAUCAGGCGUUAAAAGACGUUCAAUAUUCUAAAAGUGACAACAAAUUAUGUUAAUGGUGGUUUGAAGUCCUUGUUAUCAAGGUGGAAUCAAUCAUGCCAGCGUCCCUCGAGGUCAGCAGCCAUACAUAGCAAUUAGCAAUUUGUGUGUGUGUGUGUGUGUGUGUGUGUGUGUGUGUGUGUGUGUGUGUGUGUGUGUGUGUGUGUGUGUGAGGAAUGUUAAAUGUCAGACAGAAGCUUCUCCUCUCAACAGAAAGAGGAUGGAGGAUCUACUUGAAAUCUUGCCAACUUCAUAAUCAAGUUCACAUUCAUCAGAGGCCAAAAUAACUAAAUGAAAAACACUACAGAAUGAUGUCUGAUUCUAUAUGCUGCACAUUUCCUUCCCUACAAACCAUAAGGAAUAUUGAUUGAAUGUAAAUGAAAGCCAUCUAAGAUAAUGAGCUGGACAUGGCUGUCGAUGUCCCACUGAAGCCUGACACAGGAUUUACUCCAUUAAAAUUAACAAGGUCUAAACCAGAACAUCUUU